AAGGAAAACGAGUGCGGGCACUCUGGGUCCACCUCCCAUCCGUGUCUAUCUGUACCCUGUUGCUUCGGCGUGGCCACGGCCCGCCGGAGACUAACAUUUGAACGCUGUCUGAAGUUUGCAGUCUGAGUUUUUAGUUAAACAAUCGUUAAAACUUUCAACAACGGAUCUCUUGGUUCCGGCAUCGAUGAAGAACGCAGCGAAAUGCGAUAAUUAAUGUGAAUUGCAGAAUUCAGUGAAUCAUCGAGUCUUUGAACGCACAUUGCGCCCCCUGGUAUUCCGGGGGGCAUGCCUGUCCGAGCGUCAUUGCUGCCCUCAAGCACGGCUUGUGUGUUGGGCUUCCGUCCCUGGCAACGGGGACGGGCCCAAAAGGCAGUGGCGGCACCAUGUCUGGUCCUCGAGCGUAUGGGGCUUUGUCACCCGCUCCCGUAGGUCCAGCUGGCAGCUAGCCUCGCAACCAAUCUUUUUAACCAGGUUGACCUCGGAUCAGGUAGGGAUACCCGCUGAACUUAAGCAUAUCAUAAGCGGGGAAGGAAAAAAAAUUUAUA
rnacentral:misc_RNA from 1 species